UCGGAUGUGGUGGGCGGUGCACACCCGCUAGCGAUUAUUGCGUCUAAUUCACGUUACAAGCAGGAGCCUGGGUUCGAAUCCCAGCGUCCGAU